CGUCACUUCCGGUUGACGAACCCGGAAGUAAAGACGCUUAUACUAUGUAAAUGAAGAACAGCUGAAAGGAAGCCCCAGGAAAGGCCAGGGAUGAGGAAAGGAAGAGUUUCAACGCAUUUAAAAUGGAGCCGGGAAUCAGGAGAACGAUACCAAUUGAGAAAGCCUACAUAAGCAGCGAAAUGCAUCUUGGACUCAGAGGAGGACUAAAGAAGGACUUUUUAUAUUUAUAUUUUCUGUUUUAUAUACUUUUGUUUUAUAAUUAAAAGUCUUAUCUUGGAUAAGUUCCCUAUCUAUUCCUGA